GUGGGCUGACAGUACAGGGUCCAACAGAGGCAAAGAGCUGGAAAUGCAGGGAAAGAAAGGGGAACAUCCUCCUCUUCCAGCGGAGGAAGCUGGGUGAAGAAAGGAGAAGCAUUGCGCUGGUGUGGGAAGCACGGGGCCGCUAAGGUUGAAGGCUUCUCAGCCUGGGCUGGAUCCUGGACAGACAGGCCCAGGCAGGCUGUGCACUGUGACCUGGGGCCUUGCUGUGAACAAAGAGGACUUCAAGAGGAGAUGGCCUGGAGGAGUUCGCCUUUGUGGUCAUUUUGCUUCAGCGGACCAGUCAGCAAAUAAUGACUGCCCUUGGUCAUCCCUGGGAAGAUAAAGGAUUAUUAAAAGAGGGCCCGGCAGCUUGCAGAUUACACCUGCUACAUUUGGAGUGGAAAGAGGCUUCUCUGUCAGUGCCCCUUGCCCCCAUGGAAAGACACUAAUAGCAAUCUUCAACCAUAAUUGUUUGGUCCAUUUUGUUCUGGACCAAGUUUGCAUAAGUUUUAAGCCUGAAAGUCAAAGAAAAACGAAAUCUUACACGUCAACAUGGCCUUUCCAUCACUUGAAAAAGGCACCCUCUCUCUCUCUUUCUCUCUGCCUCGUAAACACAGCGGUCUUGCUCAGAGCAAUCUUGAGCUCUGAGCUGUGAAGAAUUGCUGUAGGUAGGAAGAAACGUUGGCUCUGGAAUUCAAUUAACUGUCAGCAUUGCUGUUCGAGUCAGGAUGACUCACUCCUCUUCAGCAAAUGGGCAUGGGGGCUGUGAGCCUCCAAGAUUAAUGGUGAUUGAUAAGCCGCUGGAGCUCCAGGACGAAGCCUCCCAGAAUCCUUCCCUCACCCACACACGUUUUUACAUGAAAAUAUAAUAGAUAGUGGGAGAGGAUGUGUGAGUACAGAGGAGAUGCUGUCAAGAAUUUGCCUGUAUCCUUUUCUUUUAUAUUGGUAAGUUUCACUGGAUUCUAAGCUACUGAAAAGCAGGGACUAUGUUUUAUAUUUCUUUUCUCUCAGUUCAUGUCCAAAUUAAUGCAUCAGGUGAAAAGAAAGGAUGCUGUCUGAUACCCCAUGAGGUAGGUAUGAGGCCCAUUCUAUAAAUGAGGGGAAGCAACGUGCUAAUAAGAGAAAAAGCUAGGACUCGGUCCCAGAAAGUCUGCCAAGGGUGCCAGCUCCAACCGCUGCAGGUGCCGCCUCUUCACGAGCACGUUACGCCAUUUCUCUCUUUAACACGGAAAGCAAAAUGUGGGCCUGACUGUGGUGAGGGCAUGCUUUUCCAUUCUAAAUGGCAGCUAGCAUGCAUUACAUGUACAAUAUACAACAGGAAUACAAUACGCGGGAGAGAAAACCUUCCCUCCCCUUUUCCUCAGGCACCUGGCUGGUUCAGGCUCCAGUGGCUUGGUUUUGUCGCUGGUGUUGUUAGUUUCCCCCAGCAUCCCCAUUCAUUUUCCAGAAUCCUCUGUCCCUCAUUGUAGUUUUGUAUUUGCAGAUACAAUCUAGGAAACAAUUCAGAUGGGAAAAGAAAUCUUUUCAUGAGAAAGGAUAGUAAAAUUAACAGAAAGCUGGUUAAACUUACAAUUUCCUCAAGUAUUGAGAAUAAACAUGAAUCCAUGAGAAUAAAAACUCAGUAUGGAUUUGUCCACAACGCUUAGGAGGAACAUGUUAGAAGUGCCACAUGCAGGCCAGGCGUGGUGGCUCACGCCUGUAAUCCCAGCAUUUUGGGAGGCCGAGGCAGGAGGAUCAAGAGGUCAGGAGAUCAAGAUCAUCCUGGCUAACACGGUGAAACCCUGUCUCUACUAAAAAAAAUACAAAAAAUUAGCCGGGUGUGGUGGCAUAAGCCUGUAGUCCCAGCUACUCGGGAGGCUGAGGCAGGAGAAUCGCUUGAACCCGGGAGGUGGAGCUUUCAGUGAGCCGAGACGCACCACUGCACUCCAGCCUGGGUGACAGAGCGAGACUCUGUCUCAAAAAAAAAAAAAAAGAAAAAGAAAAAGAAAGAAAAAGAAAUGCCACAUGCAUGUAAGAGUCCAGGCAGGGUGGUCAAACUGUCAGAUGCGCAACAUUCGAGGGGCAAAAAGGAUGAAAUAAGAUGCUCUCUAAACGCAUGAGCAAGACCAGCUGUCAAAGCACUGGCGCCUUUAUUCACACAUUUUGUAAACCUCAGGUAGACAGGAGACAGCAGUAAGUACGUGACCUCAGCGCGUGAUCCUCAUUCAAACUGGAAUUCGAGUAUCACUGGUCUCAGCUGCAGACAUUUCAGAGUGGGUCCAUUUGCUCUUAGGAACUUCCAGGGCACCCCAGCACCACUUGUUUUUGCCUUUGUCUUUGCUUUCCUUCCCCACAUCCCUACAAAACCAAACAGACUUGCUCUCCCAGCUUCACAAAGAGAAACGGAUUCCAAGAGGAAAUCACUUCACAGCAAGUGAGCCCUGGGAAGAAUUAAAGACUGAGGAGCCCUUGUAAUGAGAUUAAGGGAAAAAUGCUUUUGUGCAUCCAACUCAGACCCGUCCUCAGUAUGCAGGACGCGAGUGGUGCCAAAACAAACAUGGGUAUUGUUUUGGGAAGGAAAAGGUUAACAAGCUAUGAAAACAAAAUUAGAGAUAUUUUCAAAGCAUGACCCUCAGCAGAAUGAGUAGAAUGCAGUCUACCCAGGCAGCAGCAUUCCCUCCUCACUUGACAUUUAUCCUGCA
rnacentral:lncRNA from 10 species